rnacentral:rRNA from 1 species
UACAGAGGGUGCAAGCGUUAAUCGGAGUUACUGGGCGUAAAGGGCGCGUAGGCGGUCAUGUAAGUUAGAUGUGAAAUCCCUGGGCUUAACCUAGGAACUGCAUCUAAGACUGUGUGACUGGAGUACUGUAGAGGGUAGUGGAAUUUCCGGUAUAGCGGUGAAAUGCGUAGAGAUCGGAAGGAACACCAGUGGCGAAGGCGGCUACCUGGACAGAUACUGACGCUGAGGCGCGAGAGCGUGGGGAGCAAACGAGG